AGGGCUGUAGCUCACUGGUAGAGUACCUGCCUUGCAUUCAGAAGGUUGCAGGUUCAAUCCCUGGCAUCCCCA